AUGGCCGGCCUAGGGGAACGUCGUGUUCCAGGCGGCGGCGAUGUCGGCCGCCGCGCCUCCUCCUCCGCCUCGCGCUGCUCCUCCUCGGCGUCGUGCUCCAGCUGCUCGAGGUACUCACCCUCGCAGCGCUCCUCGGCCAGUUGUCGCGAGCGCCAUUGCUCGAGGGCGAGUCGCUGCUCUGCCUCAUUUCGGCAGUACAACGGCGCCGUGUCUAUCGUCUGGUCGCCCCUCCUGGUGAAGGUCGUCGAGAAGGUGGAGCACGCCGACGGCCAGCACAAGAACGUGUUCUUGGACUCAGUUCGACGACGGUGGAUGUCACAGCUGGGCGCAUUCGACGCGGCCGUCCAGUCUGUCGGGCACUAG
rnacentral:rRNA from 1 species